rnacentral:rRNA from 1 species
AGGACGAACGCUGGCGGCGUGCUUAACACAUGCAAGUCGAGCGGAAAGGCCCUUCGGGGUACUCGAGCGGCGAACGGGUGAGUAACACGUGAGCAACCUGCCCUUAGCUCCGGGAUAGCUCCGGGAAACCGGAAUUAAUACCGGAUACGACCACGGCCGACAUCUGCUGUGGUGGAAAGGAUUCCGGCUAAGGAUGGGCUCGCGGCCUAUCAGCUAGCUGGUGGAGUAACGGCCCACCAAGGCGACG